ACUUAAGCAUAUCAAUAAGCGGAGGAAAAGAAACCAACAGGGAUUGCCUCAGUAACGGCGAGUGAAGCGGCAAGAGCUCAAAUUUGAAAGCUGGCUCCUUCGGGGUCCGCAUUGUAAUUUGCAGAGGAUGCUUCGGGAGCGGCCCCCAUCUAAGUGCCCUGGAACGGGCCGUCAUAGAGGGUGAGAAUCCCGUCUGGGAUGGGGUGCCCGCGCCCGUGUGAAGCUCCUUCGACGAGUCGAGUUGUUUGGGAAUGCAGCUCUAAAUGGGUGGUAAAUUUCAUCUAAAGCUAAAUACUGGCCGGAGACCGAUAGCGCACAAGUAGAGUGAUCGAAAGAUGAAAAGCACUUUGAAAAGAGAGUUAAACAGCACGUGAAAUUGUUGAAAGGGAAGCGCUUGCGACCAGACUCGCUCGCGGGGUUCAGCCGGCCUUCGGGCCGGUGUACUUCCCCGCGGGCGGGCCAGCGUCGGUUUGGGCGGCCGGUCAAAGGCCCUCGGAAUGUAACGCCCCCCGGGGCGUCUUAUAGCCGAGGGUGCCAUGCGGCCAGCCCGGACCGAGGAACGCGCUUCGGCUCGGACGCUGGCAUAAUGGUCGUAAGCGACCCGUCUUGAAACACGGACCAAGGAGUCUAACAUCUACGCGAGUGUUCGGGUGUCAAACCCGUGCGCGCAGUGAAAGCGAACGGAGGUGGGAACCCCUCGGGGUGCACCAUCGACCGAUCCUGAUGUCUUCGGAUGGAUUUGAGUAAGAGCGUAGCUGUUGGGACCCGAAAGAUGGUGAACUAUGCCUGAAUAGGGCGAAGCCAGAGGAAACUCUGGUGGAGGCUCGCAGCGGUUCUGACGUGCAAAUCGAUCGUCAAAUUUGGGUAUAGGGGCGAAAGACUAAUCGAACCAUCU
rnacentral:rRNA from 1 species